CCCAACUAUCCCUAUUAAUCAUUACAUCGAUCCUAGAAACCAACAAAAUAGAAUCGGAUGUCCUAUUUCAUUAUUCCAUGCUAAUGUAUUCAAGCGUGAGCCUGCUUUAAACACUCUAAUUUUUUCAAGGUAACAGUCCUAAUUCCCCGUGACACCAAAUUAAUGGCAUUACGGUUCUUUAGAAGGUGAGAAAUCAAUAAUAUCAGUACAUACCAACGGCAUGACCGAAACAUUGAUCCCGAAAUUCAACUACGAGCUUUUUAACUGCAACAACUUUAAUAUACGCUAUUGGAGCUGGAAUAAUGGAAUAGGACCUCGGUUCUAUUUCGUUGGCUUUCGGAGUCGAGGUAAUGAUUAAUAGGGAUAGUUGGGGGUCGGUAAGCU
rnacentral:misc_RNA from 1 species